rnacentral:rRNA from 1 species
UACAGAGGUCUCAAGCGUUGUUCGGAUUCACUGGGCGUAAAGGGUGCGUAGGUGGUGAGGUAAGUCGGAUGUGAAAUCUCCGGGCUCAACCCGGAAAUGGCAUUGGAAACUACCUUGCUUGAGGGUUUGAGGGGGGAUUGGAAUACUUGGUGUAGCAGUGAAAUGCGUAGAUAUCAAGUGGAACACCAGUGGCGAAGGCGAAUCCCUGGAAAAUACCUGACACUGAGGCACGAAAGCUAGGGGAGCAAACAGG